GGAGUUAGCAAUGCUAAGUCCCUACGCAGUGGCGGACGGGUGAGUAACACGUGAGAAUCUGCCUUGAGGACGGGGAUAACAGUAGGAAACCACUGCUAAUACCGGAUAAGCCGAAAGGUGAAAAGAAAUUUGCCUGAAGAGGAGCUCGCGUCUGAUUAGCUAGAUGGUGAGGUAAAAGCUUACCAUGGCAACGAUCAGUAGCUGGUCUGAGAGGAUGAGC
rnacentral:rRNA from 1 species